rnacentral:rRNA from 1 species
GACGAACGCUGGCGGCGUGCUUAACACAUGCAAGUCGAACGGUGAAGCUCCAGCUUGCUGGAGUGGAUCAGUGGCGAACGGGUGAGUAACACGUGAGCAACCUGCCCCUGACUCUGGAAUAAGCGCUGGAAACGGCGUCUAAUACUGGAUACGAGAAGGGUCCGCAUGGGCACUUUCUGGAAAGUUUUUCGGUUGGGGAUGGGCUCGCGGCCUAUCAGCUUGUUGGUGAGGUAAUGGCUCACCAAGGCGACGACGGGUAGCCGGCCUGAGAGGGCGACCGGCCACCCUGGGACUGAGACACGGCCCAGACUCCUACGGGAGGCAGCAGUGGGGAAUAUUGCACAAUGGGCGAAAGCCUGAUGCAGCGACGCCGCGUGAGGGAUGACGGCCUUCGGGUUGUAAACCUCUUUCAGCAGGGAAGAAGCGAAAGUGACGGUACCUGCAGAAGAAGCACCGGCUAACUACGUG